CCNGGGGAGCGAACGGGAUUAGAUACCCCGGUAGUCCUGNCCGUAAACGAUGGGUACUAGGUGUAGGAGGUAUCGACCCCUUCUGUGCCGGAGUUAACGCAAUAAGUACCCCGCCUGGGGAGUACGACCGCAAGGUUGAAACUCAAAGGAAUUGACGGGGGCCCGCACAAGCGGUGGAGUAUGUGGUUUAAUUCGACGCAACGCGAAGAACCUUACCAGGUCUUGACAUUGAUGGACAGAACCAGAGAUGGUUCCUCUUCUUCGGAAGCCAGAAAACAGGUGGUGCACGGUUGUCGUCAGCUCGUGUCGUGAGAUGUUGGGUUAAGUCCCGCAACGAGCGCAACCCCUAUCUUAUGUUGCCAGCACUUUGGGUGGGGACUCAUGAGAGACUGCCGCAGACAAUGCGGAGGAAGGCGGGGAUGACGUCAAAUCAUCAUGCCCCUUAUGACCUGGGCUACACACGUACUACAAUGGGAGUUAAUAGACGGAAGCGAGAUCGCGAGAUGGAGCAAACCCGAGAAACACUCUCUCAGUUCGGAUCGUAGGCUGCAACUCGCCUACGUGAAGUCGGAAUCGCUAGUAAUCGCAGGUCAGCAUACUGCGGUGAAUACGUUCCCGGGCCUUGUACACACCGCCCGUCACACCACGAAAGUCGGAAGUGCCCAAAGCCGGUGGGGUAACNUUCGG
rnacentral:rRNA from 1 species